rnacentral:rRNA from 1 species
GAUGAACGCUGGCGGCGUGCUUAACACAUGCAAGUCGAACGAAGCACUUUAUUUGAUUUCCUUCGGGACUGAUUCUUUUUUGACUGAGUGGCGUACGUGUUCGUACCACCUCGGUCACCUGCCUUGUACAGGGGGAUAACAGUUGGAAACGUCUGCUCAUACCGCAUAAGCGCCCAGCAUCUCAUUAUGCAGUGUGCAAAACUCCGGGGGUAUCAGAUGGACCGGCGUUGGAUUUGCUAGUUGGGUGGGUAGGGGCCGACCAAGGCGACGAUCCAUAGCCGACUGGUGAGGGUGAACGGCGACAUUGGGACUGAGACACGACCCAAACUCCUACGGGAGGCAGCAGUGGGGAAUAUUGCACAAUGGGCGAAAGCCUGAUGCAGCGACGCCGCGUGAGCGAAGAAGUAUUUCGGUAUGUAAAGCUCUAUCAGCAGGGAAGAUAAUGACGGUACCUGACUAAGAAGCACCGGCUAAAUACGUG